GAUGAACGCUGGCGGCGUGCCUAAUACAUGCAAGUCGAGCGAACAGACGAGGAGCUUACUCCUCUGACGUUAGCGGCGGACGGGUGAGUAACACGUGGAUAACCUACCUAUAAGACUGGGAUAACUUCGGGAAACCGGAGCUAAUACCGGAUAACAUGUUGAACCGCAUGGUUCAACAGUGAAAGACGGUCUUGCUGUCACUUAUAGAUGGAUCCGCGUCGCAUUAGCUAGGUGGUAAGGUAACGGCUUACCAAGGCAACGAUGCGUAGCCGACCUGAGAGGGUGAUCGGCCACACUGGAACUGAGACACGGUCCAGACUCCUACGGGAGGCAGCAGUAGGGAAUCUUCCGCAAUGGGCGAAAGCCUGACGGAGCAACGCCGCGUGAGUGAAGAAGGUCUUCGGAUCGUAAAACUCUGUUAUUAGGGAAGAACAAAUGUGUAAGUAACUAUGCACGUCUUGACGGUACCUAAUCAGAAAGCCACGGCUAACUACGUG
rnacentral:rRNA from 1 species